AACGCUAACCGCCGCAUUGCGUCGUUUUGCACGAUACGAGAUUUCAACUUCCGCCGUUGAUGAUAGUCCUUAUCGAACCAUAUCGUGCUAUUUCUGUUUACGAGCAUGGUGUGGCGGCCAUUUUCGCGAAUGGCGCGUCCAUUAGUCUCCGGGCUACCCGUGCCAAUCUCAAUGUUCAUCCUUGCGCGCCGUAAAUCCACUCGGCUCCACGCUUCCGCGGCUAAAAGGACCAAUGGCGAUUGUGAGCCCUUUCUACCGCGCGGCUCCUCGUCAUCGAUCCUCUCCCCGAUCCACGUCUGAGUUAUUUCGUCUUUGUGGAAGAGCGUAUAUCAUUCUUUUCAUAUACAUUAGACACCUCAGCACGCAGUGUCGUGUUCUGAAAACGCAGUCAUUAUUAACCUUUCAAUAUUCUCCGCUUAGAUUUGGAUAACAUAACUAUUAUAUUGCAAAAAGUUUUGACCUCACAAUAUUUACAUUAGGAAGACACAAUAGUUUACAUUAAUACUAAAGCAUAUGUGACUGAGAGUUGGCUAAACCACUUUGAAGAAUUGCUUUUAAUUUUAUGAACGAAAAGGCAGAAAAUUCGAUUAAAAAAGAAGCGUACAUUUUUUAAAUUGUACAGAGUAAAGUACAAUUAGGAUAAGAUAGAGAAAGAAAGACAAUUGGUCUAAAUUACUUUUUUAAACAUCUCUUUGAUAAUAUCAUCGAAACGAGACUCCUACCUUAUAGACGAGCUGGUUAUUUCUACUGAAACGCAAAUUCACACACACGUACACUUGUCUCGCGUUGCACACGCUUUUUCGUAUGCUGAUUAUACACGGGGUUGAACAUUUUACACGUACUUGCGACCGCGACAAAUAUUGAAUCUUAAAUACAUGAAGUGAAAUGCGCUUAAGGCGCGUCUUAGGUGCGAAGAGAGGAAGUAACGACAUGGUCAACGCACACGUUAAUUUACGACCGCGGGCAUUACUUCCUGGAAACUAGUGUGGACGUUUAAACGUCCCUUCCAAACCUUCCACAAUAGCUACGUUAGCUACGUGCCUUUUCUAAAAAUCGUUUAAGCGGCAAAUGAAAAUUUACCAUCGGUAUCGAGAAAUUAACGGGAAAUCACAGCAAAUGGAAAUUACUGGAAUUUCAUUGGAAAUCGCAAUCUGAUUGACGCGGACAGUUCUCAUCCACGCUCGAAGCGUCAGCACGCGUUUUGGAUAAUGCGCGAUUAUUUGCAAUCUAUUUGCUUUAUAUGCCAUCCACGGCAGCGUCCAGCCGUAAAUGUUUCGAAUAAACGAUCCAUUUGCUCGCUGCGAAGUUUACUCUCACGUUUGAUGCACGCUGCGCCACGUAAUUGAAACGAUCAAUCAAACACCUGAGAAAAGGAGGGUGAGCUCACGCGUGCACAAAUCGCACCUCAGGUCGCGUUCACGCAAAAGGGGAGGUGCGAACACCUACAAGCAAUUAAGUAUCAUCCGUGUCUUGUUGGAAAUAUUUUGAAGCUAGCAUUGUGUAUCUCCAAAAUAUUAAAGUUGAAAGAAAGAGGGAUUUGUUAUAAAUAUUUUAUUCUCUUCACACAAGCCAUUCGUACAAAUUAAUUUUUCUGUUUCUUCUUCCGAAUACUGUUAAUUAUGAUUCUCGAGGAAAGCGUUAAAUAUUAUAUUUUAAUAAAUAAUAAAUAAAAGUGUGAAGUUAGAUAUAAUUUUCUGUAUACUUUGUCUGAUAUACCGGUGGUUUUGCGGCCACGACACCAUUAAUAAUCGCGUGAGAAACGUUUAUUUCAGUCGGUAGGACGAGACGCGAGAGACGCGAGGAUUCUUUCGAAACUGCGCGAUUAAUUUUCAGUAAGCUCGGCGUAUAACUGGCCGCUUUUGGUGUGUGUACAGAUAUAGCCACUCUCGCGAGAUAUUAGACAGGUGAGCGCGUUCCCAGGGGAACAAAGGCCCCAUUACCCUGUCUUACCACCUCGACCCGGGCGGACGUCCCGACAGACCCUCCGCUCUUGAAACAUUCAUAAGAGCGUUGUAAGUGGUUUUUAAUAAACGUAUUUAAUCAUGAGUGUCGGAUUACGGAUUAAAUCGGUAGGCGCUGUCACCAAUCGGGGGGAUUAGUCAUGAAUCUAAACAGAUGUACAACCCGCUUUUUGCAGGUAUAUGCGGGUGUUUUGUCUUUCGAUUUUGAUACCGACGUGACAUUAUUUUAUUUUAUACCUUUAUUUUCUAAUGUCAAUUUUAACUAAAAAAAAUUAGUAGAAAACGCGAAAAAAAACAAGCAAUUAUUAAAAUGUGAAAGAAAAAAUUUUUAUCCGUACAAAAAGUACGUUUAACAAUGAUAAAAACGUACUUUUCAACUUUACUCAACCAUCAUCAGUCACAAACAAUGUAUAAAAAUAAGUAAUAAAUAAAUAAAUUACAGUUGAAGCGAUAAUAUAAUAUUUAAAAACAAGAUGAAAGAAAUUAAUUUAGAAUAAUAUAACUUUUUGAUAGUAUCAUUUAAUGAGUACUCUUAUUUGACGAAAGUUAAUUUAUGGCAUAAUAGAAUAGCAUUCAAAUUUGUUGAAUGUACAGGAAAUUAAUGUUUCGGUACUAUUAAUGUACUUGAAACUGUAAAACUGUUGCAACGCAGCCUAGAUAGAACGUUACGGUUAAAGCAAUUAUUUCUAGCAGACAAGAAAAUUAUUACAAGAGCGUGUCGCCUCCACUUCAGUCACAGUCAUCUCCGUGUUCAGUGACAACUCUCAUAGCACAACGUGCAAUGGUACUAGAAAAUUUGCUAGAACGCGGUGAAAAAUGUUCAUUGUGGGCUUACAAAAUAAUAUACCUCUUCGAAAUCUUCUUCGUAAUUUGCGCAGUGUUGGCACAGGAAUGCUUUGACGAUGGUAACGAGUUCUGUAUCGAUCAGAACGAUAUACUUUCUGUAGAUCUUUUACCUGGAACAUUUUUAUUUAAUGAUCAAAAUAAUGUUCCUAAGACAAUAAUAAACGAAACUGUGGAUGGAUCUUUUAAUAAAGCGUUAAACGAGAUGGAAUAUCACAGGAAGAGAAUGAAUGAGUAUCUUUGUCACGGCUACUUAGCGGAAGAAAUCUUCAAGGAAGUGAGCACUCCUAGAUUAAAACGACAUCCAGAAUCUAUGCCAACUAACAAUCAGCAUUACAAUUUCUUAGGCGAUGAUAAUGUUACGAUACACGAUAAGCUUUUAGCGGAUGAAGGAAGCUCAAAAUAUAAAACUUGGUUGCACCGAACAACGACCCUAAAUGACGUGUAUCAACAUUAUGCGCCUCACAAAAAAAUAAGAAAGAAACAAGAUAACGAUGUUGAAGAAUUCGAUGGCGAGGUGACGGGAUACGCGAUGCAGGCGCCUCUGCCAUCGAAUGGAAAAGUGGACGGCUAUGAACCAUCUCAUGAAGAUGACAUGCUGUCAUCGUCGACGGGGCAUCAUGCCUUUCAUUACGGACCGAUGUCCUAUGGCCAUCAUCAUGGUGACUACUUUCCGUCUAUCCACGAAGAGUACUAUUAUUCUCCGCAUCAGGAACAUCAAGAGGAUCACAAACCCUCCUAUUCCAAGGGAAAGGGUCACGACAUGUCGGUUAAGGACUUCUUCGAAAUCGCGCUCACCGCGCUUGCAUUCUUAGCAUUCGGGCUGUUCAUUAUUCAGCUUCUGAUGAAUUGCAUGGAAAAUAAUGGUAGUAGGCGAAUCAGGAGACACACAAUUUCUCUCUCCUCAUCUGUCAUUAGCAAUGAGGCAUUGAACGAGUUGUCUUAUCGCGUUUUGAGGUCCAUCGAAGCGGCUAUGGUCGCCGAAGCGGACUCUGGUAACUGUCUGCGCAGGAUACUAUGUGAAAAUAAUCAAUACUCCAAGGAAACUAAAGACGAUCGAAAAAUUUGGAUUCCUGUGUGGAGCUUGGGCAUGAGUUGGUUGUCGGGCAGAAUGCUACACAGGACUCCAUGGUCGGCAAUGUUGGAUUCUGUGAAAGCAUCCAUUUUGGGGUUGGGUGGAGUUGACUGCUCCUCUUUCUAUCCAGCAUGUGAUCUUGAGAGGGAAAGGAUUAAGAGGCGUCGCAGAAAGAGGAAAUAAAUAAUGUUUCACAAGGCAUUAAAAAAGUUCAAAGUAAAAUGAAUUAAACAGAGGAAAUGGUAUUAAACGGAUAGAAGAAUGAGCUGCUUGGAUAAAGGGUAAAGCAUUUACGAUAUCAUCCAAAAGCGGAUUAGGGGUUGCCUGCAGCUGUAUAAAAUAUUAUUUUUAAAACAUAAUCCAUUACUUUUUUAAUAUUGAAACCUGUUCUUAUUUAAAUUGUGAAAUAUUACUUAUUUGAAAGUGUAGAAAAGAUAAUUUAAUAUAUAACGAUUACGUAAUAAAGUACGUAAUACAUACAUUUAAAAUAAAAGAGAUAUAUAUUUUUAGUACCUGAAAUAAAUACACCAGUAUAGUGACACCAUCAUAUUGGCGAAGAGCCCCUAUUUGAGAUCCGUAAUGACUGUUGUAAUGUACAGCGUGCAGUUCCAUUGGCAUGCUUUGUGAAAAAA